GAUGAACGCUGGCGGCGUGCCUAAUACAUGCAAGUAGAACGCUGAAGGAGGAGCUUGCUCUUCUGGAUGAGUUGCGAACGGGUGAGUAACGCGUAGGUAACCUGCCUGGUAGCGGGGGAUAACUAUUGGAAACGAUAGCUAAUACCGCAUGACAACAGUUAUUGCAUGAUAACUGUUUAAAAGGGGCAACUGCUCCACUACCAGAUGGACCUGCGUUGUAUUAGCUAGUUGGUGAGGUAACGGCUCACCAAGGCGACGAUACAUAGCCGACCUGAGAGGGUGAGCGGCCACACAGGGAGUGAGACACGGCCCCGACUCCCACGGGAGGGAGAAGAGGGGAAACUUCUGCAAAGGAGGGAAAUCUGACCGAGCAAAACCGCGUGAGUGAAGAAGGGGUUCGGAGCGUAAAGAGCUGUUUUAUGAGAAGAACGAGAGUGAGAGUGGAAAGUGCACACUGUGACGGUAUCUUACCAGAAAGGGACGGCUAACUACGUG
rnacentral:rRNA from 1 species